GUAAUUUGAAUAUAUUUGUUUAAAAAGUUUAAUAAAGUUGUUUUUAACAAGUUUAUGCUUUGAAGUGAUUGUUCAAGAGUGGCUAACAUUGUGGAUCAUAAAAGUGUGACAUUUUAUAUAAACUUUAAGGGAAAUUUAUUGUUAAAUAAUUUUAAGAUGUAGCUAAAUCAAUAAAAAAAAUCCUACUUAUACCGUCAUGACCUGUUAGGAUUUUCUAAUUGCCAAUAAACAAUUACUAUUCCUGCUUUCUUAUCACCAAGAAUUUUCCAAAAAGUUUGUCCUCCUGCAUAAGAUCUAUAACUGAAGCGAGGUUUUCGUAGUUGAUAGGGAACCGAAUUUGAUAGGGAGUUUCCCACUGGAAUAGUAUAUUAGCCGAUAGCAUAAAAAUCGGUGCUAGCUUAAAGUUUCGACUUUUUGCUAGUGCUGUUUUAGGGAAACUUAAGGAAGCUUAAGUUUUUGUCCAAUCUUUCUCUCCCAAAAAAAGGGAGUGAAUAUUGUCUUUACCAUCGGUUACAAUGAAUAGAUCCGUGACGAAAUAGAACCAAUCAAACCACUGUCUUUUUCAGAUACAUUGAUUUUUUUCGAAUUUGGAUCUCAUUUUUUACAUUCCAUACAGACUAUUAGUUCCUCCCCAUAUGAAAUACGGGCUGGGGCAUGAUUUUCCAUUCACUAUACCUAUCCAAGCUGGCAAAACCUAUAAACAUUAAUACGUUUUACUGCAUUACCCGCUUAGAGUAGGACAAAAAUAUUCUGUCCAAAAAGGGGACACUAAGGUGAAGAUUGUCUUCAACAUCGUUUACAAAUAAUAGAUCCAUGACGAAAUAGAACCAUGAUCUUUUUCAAAUACAUUGUUUUUUUUUUUAACUGCAGGGCAGUUAUUCCAGUUCUCUGCGAGCAUCAAGUUACUUCAAGUGCUUUGUAAUCCUUUUACACCUGGUCGUCUCAACGCAUUUUUUCCAUUCCAAACCAUCUAUUGGUUCCUCACCAUAUGUAAUACGGGCCGGGCGCCGCACAUAAGAACGGAUUAGAUAAGCGUUCUUUACAGUUGUACCUACGUUCGUCGGGAGAGGGUUGUAUGCGAUGUUUCAGCAGUUGUAUGUGAUGUUCCAGUCAUUGUAAAGUUUUCGCGCUCGCAAUUAAGUAUUUUGUUUUGUCCUGAUCAACCUUAAGGCCCAUGAUCCUCGACUGCCUUUUUAAUUUAUCAAAUACACCACUUAGUGCCCUCGUGUUGCAACCAAUGAUGUCAGUAUAGUCAGCAUGUGCUAGAAGCAUGACAAUUUUAUUGUAAAUGAUGUCAGUGGUCCUAAUUUUCGUUUCAUGCUAAAUUUUUUCAAUUAGCAGUUAAAGAAAUCGCACGAUUAACCUUGUCUAAAACCUCGUCCAGUAUGAAACAAUUUUGAGAGGUUGCUCACGAUCUUCGUGGAAAUAAUAAGUUCGGACAUAGAGAAAUAGAAUGAAUAAAGUUUCUGCGGAUCACUCACCCAACAAGUGAUGAGUCAGGUGAGGGGACUGCAAACUUCUCAUUCUGUUAGGGUAUGAUUUGCAUAACAUUGUGCUUAGUGCUGGCACAUGGAUCGUCAACAGUCAUGUACAAUUGUUUACCUAAUUAUUUUUCGUUUGUCAUAAAGAGGAGAGGUGUGAGCCUUUGCUAACACACCUUAUGGUUGAAUAGGAUUACAAUGAAUUUAAGCUGACAAAACAAACGUUCACGUAAAGCACUAUAUGUAAGUGGAAUAAAGAUUAUUAAAUUUAAAAUUUGCCUAUGCAUGGUUCUCCAAAAGAAUUUCUGAAAUAUUGUGGCAAUCUAGUUUGCUGAGCAAAUUCAUUCGUUGUCGCCAGAUACAUUAUAUGGAAAAUUUCCAUAUCUGACAGAAAAUUUCUAUAAUCUCUCCAGUUCUUUUUUUUUCACCUAGCAUUUAAAGAGAAUAUUUCAAUUACACUCUAGCUCAUGUUUAAUGUAUAAAUUUCUUAUCCCCCUCAUUUCUAUACAUUUCUAUUAACUCUAGUUAUCCAUCAUUGUCAACAAUAUUUAUAAAUAUAAGAUUUGUAAAUAAUUUUUUUUUUCUUUUCAUAAAAUUGUUUUUUUUUUUUUUUUCUUCAAUUCGCCCUUAAUAUAAAGGGAUUUAAUUACUUCUCUAGGGUAUAUUGUAAAUACACUUGGUAAAUAUAGUAAAAAAAAUAAAAAUUGUAUUUAAACAGAAAGAAAAAAACAUUGAAUUUGUUGGUUUAUUCCACAAAA
rnacentral:lncRNA from 1 species